UGGAGGAGGCGGCCCUGAAUCAAGGAUGGAGAGGAGGUCCUGGAGGAGGCGGCCCUGAAUCAAGGAUGGAGAGGAGGGCUUCCUGGAGGAGGCGGCCGGACCUGCUCCCAAAAGGGGCCCAGCCGCCCCCCGGUCUGGGGUCCCCGGACACCCCAGGGGACGGGGCUUUGGGGGGACCCACGUGACCCCCGCAUGGUCCCACGGACGCAGCUGGGAGAAGCCGCCCCGUGCAGGGUGGUGGUAGUGCGAACGCAGUGUGGACGCCGUCCGCUCCCCGGGCCCCCAAGACCCCGGAUGUGGGGGUUCGGACACGCGGUCCGCCCGCUUUUGCGGCCAAAACCAGAGGACGCGCCUCCGUCCAUCUGACCCCGGGGGAUGCGGGUCACGACCUUUGCCCUGGACUCCCCUGGGGGACACACCAUCCCACGCCCUCUGACCCCAGAGCCCCCCGGAACCCGCUGGGGGGGGGGGCACCCAGGACGAGGGCAAGGGUCAUUCCUGUUUUAAGGCCCCUGCCACCCGGGUGGUCCCAGCGCCCCUGUGCACACGGCGCAAGCCUCCUCAUCGGGAACAAAUUCCUGUGAUUUCGGUGAAAAUGACUCGUGUUGGAGGCCCCGUUGGACGGGGACAGACCAGGAGGUGUCAUUUCCCGAAAUUUCUUUUUCGUGGGGUUAUUUCCGGGGCACCAAAAAACGUCCACCGAACCCCCCGAAAAAAUCACCCCCAGCGCCCCCUCCCUCCGCGUUUAAACGCCUUGAGCGGGAAACCAGACCGUGGACGCUCACCGUUAAGAAGAGAAGGCAACCAAUUCCUACUAGAGUGUGAAUGACUGAUAGCAGAUCCGCCCAGGUGAAGACGGGACGUCCGCAUUGAACAGAGGAUGUUUUUCCCCACGUCGGGGCCACCAAAGGGCACAGCUUCCAAGGAGAGGGGACGCGCCUUUCGGCCUGUCCAGUCCCUGGCCUCCCCUCCUCGGGCUUGAGCGUUUGUUGAGUGACUGCCAGACCUCAGGGAGACGCUUUACACAGAUCCACGGGGUGCGAGGCUGGAGACGCGGGUGACCCCAAUGCCACCACCAGGGUCCCUCGAAGAGCGGGGAGCGGGAGGGUCCGCAGCCCUGACCUCAUAGAUUGGGGUCAAAUCUCUAAGCUUUGGGCCUUUUUUCCGGCCCCCCAUCGGGAAGCCUCUUGGCCAAACUUCACAUUUAUUUUUUUAAUAAAAAGUAGAAAAAUAGCUGCA